rnacentral:rRNA from 1 species
AGCCUGAUGCAGCCAUGCCGCGUGUGUGAAUAAGGCCUUCGGGUUGUAAAGCACUUUCAGCGGGGCAGGUAAGGCGUUAAGGUUAAUAACCUUGUCGAUUGACGUUACCCGCAGAAGAAGCACCGGCUAACUCCGUGCCAGCAGCCGCGGUAAUACUGAGGGUGCAAGCGUUAAUCGGAAUUACUGGGCGUAAAGCGCACGCAAGCGGUCUGUCAAGUCGGAUGUGAAAUCCCCGGGCUCAACCUGGGAACUGCAUUCUAAACUGGCAGGCUAUAGUCUUGUACAGGGGGGUAGAAUUCCAGGUGUACCGGUGAAAUGCCUAGAGAUCUGGAGGAAUACCGGUGGCGAAGGCGGCCCCCUGGAUGAAGACUGACUCUCAGGUGCGAAUGCCUGAGGAGCAAACAGGAUUAGAAACCCGGGUAGUCC